GGUAUUGUUAGAUUAAUUUUGUGGGACAUUAACACCCGCAGCAACAUUGACUUUAGUUAAUGAAUCCUGGUGAGUUAAGUGACUUUAUUU
rnacentral:pre_miRNA from 2 species